GACAGAGGUGCCAAGCGUUAGGCGGAAUCACUGGGCUUAAAGCGUGUGUAGGCGGAUGCCUAAGUACCUUGUGAAAUCCCACGGCUCACCCGUGGAACUGCUGGGUAUACUGGGUGUCUUGAGCCAACUAGGGGUCGCCGGAACAAGUGGUGGAGCGGUGAAAUGCGUAGAUAUCAGGAGGAACACCGGUGGCGAAGGCGGAUCUCUGGGCCUGUCCUGACGCUCAGGCGCGAAAGCGUGGGGAGCAAACAGG
rnacentral:rRNA from 1 species